rnacentral:snRNA from 1 species
GUGCUCACUUCAGCAGCACAUAUACUAAAAUUGGAACGAUACAGAGAAGAUUAGCAUGGCCCCUGCCCAAGGAUGACUGAACUGGGUAGUGAGACCCUGUCUC